rnacentral:lncRNA from 1 species
ACACCUGAAUUUACCACUUAUCAAGCAAGCAUUUGUUAUUUCUUUUGUCAUCAUACUAUUAUUGAAAGUAGAUCCAAUAACGUUGUAUUGAUGCAUAUUUGUUAUUUAUUGACAGAUUUUUGAGGUAGAGACGAAAUGUUAGAUUGGGUGCGUAGUGUUGGUCGGCAAAAUGGCAUCAUGGUAGUUAUCAAAAAGUCUGCUAAUUUAAAGGGCAGCAAACUUCCGAAGUGUAUUCUUGGUUGUGAAAGAUGAGGAAAGUAUGAACGGCCACGAUAUUUUUAACCCUAGCAAAAAAAUACUGGAAUCAAAAAAUGUGGUUGCCCAUUUGAGCUGCAAAGUGUACCAAAAUCUUAAGAUGGUGUCAUGUGGAGUUUAUUGGUGAGGGAUAUCGACUCUCAUUGGCGUAAGUUAUGUAUACAUGCAGACCGCUCUAAUAUAAAAGUAAUUUUAUACAAAAAAAGAGAGAAAAAGCAGCGGCGGUAUAAAAGUAAUUUUAUGGGAGAGAAGGGGGUGGGGCCGGGGGGUGGGGAUAUCGGGGGUUGGGAGGAUAAAUUUUCCUUAUAAAAACAUUUUGGAAUUUGAUUUGAUGUAAAGCGAUCUUGAGAGAGAGAUUUGAGUGAUCGUAGGAGUAAUCUUAGUUUUUUUAAUUAAAAAUACAAUUUCUUUGUAAUUUUUUAAAAUUACAUCUGAAUUGUUAUAUUUUUUAAAUUUUUUCUAUAAAAAAUAACUAAAAAAAUAUAAAAUUAUAAUCAAUCGAUAAAAUAAAAAGAACUCAAAAAUUAAAGUAAAUCUUUUGAACUAAUUUAGCUGGCCCAAAUUAGAUUGAGUCCCUCAUGUCUAAAAGGCAUACUAUAACAAUUUUUAUCUUUUUGGCUAAGAACAAGGCCAAAAAGAUUUUUUAGAUAACCCUAAUUUUAAACAAAAUUUCAGAAUGCCAAGACGCUUCUAUUUUGUUUUUAUUUUUGUCAAUAAUAUAUGUAUUUGUGUUUGUCACAGGUUUCUUUUUAAAAAAAUACGCCAAAAUAUGUGACAAAACAUUUUUUUUUGUUUUUAGACAAAAAAUUUUAAACAUUAAUUUUUAAGAAACUCCAUUUUAAUAUUUUUUUGAUUUUUAUUUUUUGAAUAACUAACUUUUAACAUAAAUUCAAUUAUAACCCACACCCAUAAGGUGUGUCAUGAGGUGAUUUGCGAAGAUUACUCUACGAUCCAACAAUGAUUAGCCGGCUUUUAAAGAGGAAAACAAAUUUGGGUGAACAUUACUCUCAAUUAUGAAUUGUUGAAAUAAUAGAGUUCAUUCCAUUGAGUGGGAUCCAACUCUAUUGUUUCAAUUAAUCACAAGUAACGUCCCACUUGUUUGUCAAUGGAUAAACAAAAUUGGACUAGAAGUGCCGCUAAAUAGAAAAGGCAUAACCACAUGGGCAAGUCCUAAAGCUACACACUCCAACAGCCCCAUUAGUGAGUGCUACAUAACCAGUCACUCAACUUGGGUAAACGUAAGUCGCGAAAUCGGUACUUCAACUAAGAUUCUAACCUACACUUAUACAUUAGGUAUAAUUUGCACAGUAAAAGACCCGUCCAAUCAAUAUUUAGGUUAACGCCCAAAGAGUUAACUAACCCAUGUAAAGAUUCAAAUUGAAAAACUCAAGAUAAACCCUAGGCGGCCUGUUUGGUUUGGGGGAUUGGGAAAGGGAUUGGACUAACAAAUAACAUACGGGGCCCACCCUGUAAGGCAUUGUCUAUCAUUGCUCGCUAAACAUGUAAUCCAGGAUUGAACUAAAAUUUGGACUAAUAAUCCUCCACAUGGGCGACUAUUGUAUCCCACCUCUCCCUUGAUAUUAAUAAUCCCAAGACUAAGCCCACCUCUGGAUUCUCUCAUCCAAUCAAUUCAAUUGUCAAAAAUAAUACUCCAAAACUUAUCUUAUAUUUUUUCUUGUCAUAACCAAACAUAGUACAGAAACAUACAUAAUCACAUUAUUUAUUCUUUAGAAUAAAAAAAAAACAUGUGGAUAUCUACAUGUUUUUUAAACAAGCAAAUAAAUUACCCCAACUCAAGCGCUAGAGAGAGGCAGAUAUCUACAUCAAAAAUAUUUUGCUACAAGGAGACAAUUUACCUUGGGUUGUGAAACUAUGGUCCUCUAUUCAAACAUGCUGCUGCAAUCUUGUCAUCAACUAUUUCGUUGCAUCACUAACGGACUCGGACUGUGGUUUAACAAUACUUAAUUGUCCGCCUUCCUUAUUAGCAGCCGUUGCUGCUUUCACAUCAUUGCAGUAGUUUAUGAACUUGCUCAGCUUCUGCUCAUAGAGAGAAACAGAAACGCCAUCAGUACUAGAAAUAAAGCAGAUCUUAAUGCUAUUUCAAAGUAGUAAAAUCAUUUCCGUGAAGAAAGCCUAAUAAAAGAACGACUUCAAAAAUUAAAUUGUAGGCAAAUCAGUCGCGGCUCUAGGAAAUUUUGCUAGGGCAAUCAUUGAAAAACAUAAAGUCCACCAAAAAUCUAGUAUA